rnacentral:rRNA from 1 species
UACGUAGGCAGCAAGCGUUGUUCGGAAUUACUGGGCGUAAAGAGUGUGUAGGCGGUGCCCUAAGCUUGGUGUGAAAUCUCCCGGCUCAACUGGGAGGGUGCAUCGAAAACUGGGGUGCUCGAGGGUGGGAGAGGUAAGCGGAAUUCCUGGUGUAGCGGUGAAAUGCGUAGAUAUCAGGAGGAACACCUGUGGUGUAGACAGCUUACUGGACCACUUCUGACGCUGAGACACGAAAGCGUGGGUAGCAAACAGG